UACGUAGGGGGCAAGCGUUGUCCGGAUUUAUUGGGCGUAAAGAGCGUGUAGGCGGCCGUACAGGUCAGCUGUGAAAACUCGAGGCUCAACCUCGAGACGUCGGUUGAAACCGUACGGCUAGAGUCCGGAAGAGGAGAGUGGAAUUCCCGGUGUAGCGGUGAAUGCGCAGAUAUCGGGAAGAACACCCGUGGCGAAGGCGGCUCUCUGGGCCGAUACUGACGCUGAGGAGCGAAAGCGUGGGGAGCGAACAGG
rnacentral:rRNA from 1 species